UCAAAGACGCAUGGGAAAGUUCGGAGGAGGCGCGCAUCUGUCCUGCGCCAAAUCCUUCAGUUCCUGCGCCCCUCCGGUCCACUUCCAAAAACCCCACCGACCGAUCAAGUCUUCACUUACUUUUCUCCUUAAACGAGGGACAUGUUUUUUGCCUUCACGAGCACCGAGCUGCGCCUCGCACCGUCCUGCAUUGACAGGAACACCAAGGAGGGAGACUCAACAAGUUUGGUGAAGGAAAGAAAGAGAGGGAUGGAUCAAACUGGAUCCACCGGUUCCUAAGGAAUUAGCCAUAGCGACAGGGAGCAGCCAGACUUUUUUUUUUUUUUUUGUCACUUCAACUGCUGCCUGAAUAAAGCUCUGCUGAAUGAUGCACGCUCAAGGUCGGAGCCUGAACGCGUCACAAAGCGCACACACACGACAUCAUAUCACACGCGACUUUAUUCUAACCAUCUUGAGCGGGGACUGUUUCAAGGCAAAUAAACGGCGCUUGCGUGUUCGUUUCUGGAUUGAGGCUCGCUGCAAGCUGCCAUGGCUGCUCGUCUGCGCAGCGACAAUUCAACAGGUUCAAGUCCGUCUGGCUUCCAUUCAUCACACAGACGUGUCUGCAGACGUGCGCCCGCAGCUCCUUCGCCCAAAGAAAUGAUUCACAGAAACCAUUGUUUUGACUGGUUUGCACCUUACCUAACCACGUUGGAGUUUCUGUUCCAUGAACUAGCGCAUGGCUCCAGCGGCGCAAACGCCUCGCGGUGACUUCAUUCUAGUCCGGCAUGUGCGGACUCCGAGGUAGUGAUGUUCCGAAGCUGCAGCGGAGGAGGCAACAGUUGCAAAAUCCACCAGUGACUUCCUCCUCCAUCUCCUCCAGAGCUGCCGACAGACGAGGAGGAAGCUGUUCUGAGAGGGCGCUGGGUCACGGAACACACCCAUCGGAGUGAAGAACCUCAGUUGUUCCUGAGACAGUGUGGAACAGCUGUGUCAAACCACGCGAGGGGAAAAUUUCAUUCAAGUCACAGGCCCAACAAUAUUACUACACAGUGCGUAGUAAGAUUUCUGUUUUCUUCAUUAAGUUUCUUGACAAACCCUCAGUAAAGUCUCCUUGUGACAAACACCCGGUCAAGUAUAAGGAUGGUAAGGAUGGACUUUAAACCAGUAUUGAGAUUCUGGUCCUCAUAAUGUGACCCGGAGGACUGGAUUUGGCCCCGUGGCCUUCAGUUUGUGCUUGAGAAUGUGAGGCAUAAAUUUCACAUCUUACAUUCUGUGUACACAGCAAUAAUAACAACAUUAUUGCAGCGUAUUUUAGAGUUUAUUAAAACACAUAAAUGUAUUCACAUAACAAUCCUGUUGCAAUUGUGGCUAAAUUUCAGAACUAUUUCAGCAACAUUUUGUUUUCUUUAACAGACAAAAAUCAAUGAUUAACUCUCAGCUCCAUUAAUGUAUUGAUUUUGAAUGGAGUCUGAUGAACUUGUGGAAACUUAUGCAAGUAUCGAGCGGCUGCCGUGGAAUGAUCAGGUCAACAUUUGUCUCCAUGGAUCAAUGAAUUAGGCCAGAAGUGCUAACACUGAAUAUCUGCCACUUCUCCCUGUUUAUAGCCGAAUGUUUAUUUAUUCAUAUACUGUGUUUCGAAUCCUGGAGUCAAUUGAUUGUUUCUAAAAAAGUCUUGUUCGGUUAUUCUUUUCCCCGACUGACCUCUCCUAAGCUUCACCAACAAAUUAAACAAAUAUAAAUGUGAUCCAAAGUAAAACUGAAGCAUUCUUCCUUAUGAGUGGCAGCACAGACGGAAAAGUUUUAAAAAUACUUACUUACUUAGUGGUUUAUUUACAGUGGCGACCACUUUAGAUUUGGAAUAUAGCUUGUUGUACCUGGCCUCUCAGACAGGGGGCAGUGGAGUUUCAAACGAAAAAAUACAUUCAAUUGAAUGAACUAGAUCAGUUGUCAAUUUGAGAAUGCAAAUAAUGUCAAUAUUUUUAACAGUUUUAGCACCAAUCAAUGCGGUUUGAUGAAUUCAAACUGUUGUCUUGUUUUCUGUUGUAAACAUGGAAAACAAUAUAAAUCAUACUUUCCUGUUCAAACUUUAUUAUUCGGCAUUUUCUCAUCAAAACGUUCUUCCAGCGCUUCCCACUCGCUCAGUAUGAAUUCAACUGGUUCAGGCAAUAAAGGAUCAUAUUUUAUCCUGUAGCGACCUCUGUCGGCCACACUUGCUCAAUAUCAUUGAGCGUUGGAGGCUGUUGAAUUGUUGACUUCAGAAACCGGCAGAUGGGGAUGUGACAUUUCAGAGACAAAGUUUUGGAUCUCCUUUUGGUCUCUUCGGAACAGGCAUU